GUCUUGGGCCAUAUCUCCCUGGCUGCACCGGAUCUCACUGGCCUCGGAAGCUCAGCAGGCCUGGCCUGGCUAGAACUUGGACGGGAGAUCACAGAGGCCUAGCGAGCUCCCCAGCUA
rnacentral:rRNA from 1 species